rfam:Octopus bimaculoides Scaffold32195_contig_10, whole genome shotgun sequence.
ACAUAUAGAUCAGUUUGUACUCACUAAAAUUGGAAUGAUACAGAAAAGAGUAGCAUGGCCCCUGCGCAAGGAUGACACGCAAAUUCGAGAAGCGUUCCAUAUCUUU